UACGAAGGUGGCUAGCGUUGUUCGGAUUUAUUGGGCGUAAAGGGUCCGCAGGCGGUUUGAUAAGUCAGGUGUGAAAUCCCACAGCUUAACUGUGGACACGCACUCGAUACUGUCAGACUUGAGUAUGAGAGGGGUAAGAGGAAUUUCCAGUGUAGGGGUGAAAUCCGUAGAUAUUGGAAAGAACACCGAUGGCGAAGGCACUCUACUGGGCUAUUACUGACACUCAGAGACGAAAGCUAGGGGAGCAAAUGGG
rnacentral:rRNA from 1 species